AUAUCUCUCUGUACGGGAAGGAUGAGAAGCUUCUACCAGGGUUCGAUUCGAGCGCAGCGAGAAAGCGUUGCCGCAGGCAACGACCCGAAGGGCGAAGCGCGCA
rnacentral:sRNA from 2 species